AUUGAACGCUGGCGGCAGGCCUAACACAUGCAAGUCGAACGAGUGGCGGACGGGUGAGUAAUGUCUGGGAAACUGCCCGAUGGAGGGGGAUAACUCCUGGAAACGGUAGCUAAUACCGCAUACCAUCGGAUGUGCCCAGAUGGGAUUAGCUAGUAGGUGGGGUAACGGCUCACCUAGGCGACGAUCCCUAGCUGGUCUGCGAGGAUGACCCGCCACACUGGAACUGCGACACGGUCCAAACUCCUACGGGAGGCACUAGGGGGGAAUAUUGCACAAAGGGCGCAAACCUGAUGCAACCAUGCCGCGUGUAUGAAGGAGGCCUUCGGGUUGUAAAGUACUUUCAGCGAGGAGGCGUUACUCGCAGAAGAAGCACCGGCUAACUCCGUGCCAGCAGCCGCGGUAAUAC
rnacentral:rRNA from 1 species